AAAACAUUUCCUCUUAGUAAAAGAGGUAAGACCUGCUCACUGAAAUUUUAAAGAGCCGCAGUAUCCUGACUGUGCUAAGGUAGCAUAAUCAUUAGUCUUUUAAUUGGAGACUGGUAUGAAUGGUCAAACGAGAAAUCGACUUUUUUUGUUGUAAAGCUUGAAUUUAACUUUUUAGUGAAAAGGCUAAAAUUUUUCAAAAAGACGAGAAGACCCUAUAGAGUUUUAUAAUCAGGGGAAUAUCUUUCUCAUGGAUUUUUAUGAGAGGUAUUUACUUCAUUUAUUUUGUUGGGGCGACAUUUAGAUAUAAAAAACUCUUUAUUUUUUAAACUUUAAUAAAAGGUGGAUUGAUCCUUUAAAAAAGAUCAUAAGAAAAAAUUACCUUAGGGAUAACAGCGUAAUCUUUUUUGAGAGUUCUAAUCGACAAAAAGGUUUGCGACCUCGAUGUUGGACUAAAAUUAAGGCAGGGUGCAGCAGUUCUGCUAUAAGGUCUGUUCGACCUAUAAUUUUUUACAUGAUCU
rnacentral:rRNA from 1 species